rnacentral:rRNA from 1 species
UACAGAGGUUCCAAGCGUUGUUCGGAUUCAUUGGGCGUAAAGGGUGCGUAGGCGGCGCGGUAAGUCGGGUGUGAAAUCUCGGAGCUUAACUCCGAAACUGCAUUCGAUACUGCCGUGCUUGAGGACUGGAGAGGAGACUGGAAUUUACGGUGUAGCGGUGAAAUGCGUAGAUAUCGUAAGGAAGACCAGUGGCGAAGGCGGGUCUCUGGACAGUUCCUGACGCUGAGGCACGAAGGCCAGGGGAGCAAACGGG